CAGGUCAACAACAUGCAACCAGGGAUUGAAGUUAGCACCUGUUAAAACCAGCUCUCUCAAACCCUCUCUGAUUGUUUCAGGAUACUCCUCGACCGGGGACGAUCCUUGAGGGCGUGGUCUCUCUCCCUCUGUGAACUGAGAUGGCUCGUCACAUACCUGCAGGGACACAAGCCUCUGCUUCAAACACCCAGCAGGAGGGAGAAACAGGAGAAGCGCAGAGCUGACUGACAUCCUCGAUGAUGACAUCUUCAAACACUCCCCUGCACUCUGCAGACACACCCAGCUACUCACUGCAGGUCAGCAACACAACUCAGCAUCAGCACCAGCCGCCUUACUCUCACUCACUGUCGCCCUCCAUCAUAAACACACACAAACGUAAUCUCUCCCUCUGCACUACUGAACCCUGCUGCUGAAUCAGUGAAUUGCUCAGGGGGGAAACAGCACACACAAAGUCAUACAGAGGAAGAGAAAGAGAGAGAGUGAGUGUGCGAUGCCCACCCGUCCCGGAGGAGGCGGCGUGCCAGUUGGGGAAGGCCAGGUGGAAGCAGUCGCACAUGAUGGCAACGGUGGU